UCCCUGCGAUGCUUAAUGGAACAUCAUCUAUGGGGUUUAUUUUGAAUUGAAGAAUGUGUUGGUAGUGCCUGUAUUAAAGAACCUACUUUUGGUUAGUUCAUUCAAGAAAUAUUCAUGCAUGUUUGAGUUCUCAUCCUCUGGUUUUGUGAUAAAGGAUCUGAUAACAAAUUUUAACAGAAGUGAGUAAAAAGGGACAACUCUAUGCACUGGAUGAACAAACAGAACAUGCACUGGCUGC
rnacentral:lncRNA from 1 species